rnacentral:rRNA from 1 species
UACGUAGGGUGCGAGCGUUAAUCGGAAUUACUGGGCGCAAAGCGUGCGCAGGCGGUUUUGUAAGCCAGAUGUGAAAUCCCCGGGCUUAACCUGGGAAUGGCAUUUGGGACUGCAAGGCUGGAGUGUGGCAGAGGAGACUGGAAUUCCUGGUGUAGCAGUGAAAUGCGUAGAUAUCAGGAGGAAUACCGGUGGCGAAGGCGGCUUCCUGGACCGACACUGACGCUGAGGCGCGAAAGCUAGGGGAGCAAACGGG